rnacentral:rRNA from 1 species
UACAGAGGUCUCAAGCGUUGUUCGGAAUCACUGGGCGUAAAGGGUGCGUAGGUGGCGUGGUAAGUCAGAUGUGAAAGCCCGGGGCUCAACCUCGGAAUUGCAUCCGAUACUACCAUGCUUGAGUACUGAAGAGGAAACUAGAAUUCUCGGUGUAGCAGUGAAAUGCGUAGAUAUCGAGAGGAAUACCAAAGGCGAAGGCAGGUUUCUUGGCAGUUACUGACACUGAGGCACGAAGGCCAGGGGAGCAAACGGG